UACGAGUGGUGCAAGCGUUAUCCGGAAUCAUUGGGCGUAAAGGGUGCGUAGGCGGUCUGGUUAGUCUCUCGUUAAAACUCCCGGCUUAACCGGGAAGGUGCGAGAGAAACGGCCAGACUAAGAGGAUGUGAGAGGUAUGCGGAACUCAUGGUGUAGGGGUGAAAUCCGUUGAUAUCAUGGGGAACACCAAAGGCGAAGGCAGCAUACUGGCACAUACCUGACGCUGAGGCACGAAAGCGUGGGUAGCGAA
rnacentral:rRNA from 1 species